CCGCACAAGCGGUGGAGCAUGUGGUUUAAUUUGAUGCAACGCGAAGAACCUUACCUGGUCUUGACAUCCACAGAACUUUCCAGAGAUGGAUUGGUGCCUUCGGGAACUGUGAGACAGGUGCUGCAUGGCUGUCGUCAGCUCGUGUUGUGAAAUGUUGGGUUAAGUCCCGCAACGAGCGCAACCCUUAUCCUUUGUUGCCAGCGGUUAGGCCGGGAACUCAAAGGAGACUGCCAGUGAUAAACUGGAGGAAGGUGGGGAUGACGUCAAGUCAUCAUGGCCCUUACGACCAGGGCUACACACGUGCUACAAUGGCAUAUACAAAGAGAAGCGACCUCGCGAGAGCAAGCGGACCUCAUAAAGUAUGUCGUAGUCCGGAUUGGAGUCUGCAACUCGACUCCAUGAAGUNGGAAUCGCUAGUAAUCGUAGAUCAGAAUGCUACGGUGAAUACGUUCCCGGGCCUUGUACACACCGCCCGUCACACCAUGGGAGUGGGUUGCAAAAGAAGUAGGUAGCUUNACUUUNGGGAGGNCGCGUAAGCAAUUUGUGAUUUCAGAAUAG
rnacentral:rRNA from 1 species